rnacentral:lncRNA from 1 species
GGGUCUCCCUCUUUUGUCCAAGGCUGGAGUGUGGUAGUGCUAUCACAGCUGACUGCAGCCUCAACCUUCCAGGCUGAAGCGAUCCUCCCAUCUCAAUCUCCUACGUGGCUGACACUACAGGUGCUUGCCACUAUGCCCAACUAACAUUUGGAAUUUUCGUAUACGUGGAUUCUAGAGGGGUGACAGCGAAACAUGACCUUUUGGAGGAGCCUCAACAGGCACAGCUCCUCCCUCAUAGUGGCCCAUUUAGGCCCAACUCAUGACUGUCGGGCUAUUUCCAGGCCUAGUGUCUGCCUCGUGGCUGACUGUUGAAGCCCAAAACUUCCUCAAAUCAGCCUUUUGCCCAACUUCUGUCUACUGUCGGACUCUACAGGCCAGCCUCUGCCUCACAGUGGACCCUCCAGACCCAGAUGGUGUCUCACUGUGGCAUCCUCAGGCGAAGCUCCUGCCUUUUGGCAGCCUCUCCAGGCCCAGCUCCUCCUGCCUCCCAGUGGCCUCUUUCGGCCCAGCCCAGCUCAUGGCUCUCGGCGGCCUUCCCAGGCCCCGCUUUUGACUUUUGGCAGCCUCUUCAGGCGCAGAACUUGAUCUCCAGUCGGCCUUUGCAGGCCCGGCCUCCUGCCUCUCGAAGGCCUGCACGGGCCUGGCCUCGGCCUUGGCCUCACAGCGGACUCUCCACGCCCAGCUAGCUCUCGCCUCACUGUGGCCUCCCCAGUCCAAAGCUCCUGCCUUUCGGCCACUUCGGCAGGUCCAGCUCCUGCCUGCCAGUGGCCUCUUUAGGCCCAGCUCAUUCCUCACGUCGGCCAUUCCAGGCCCCGUUUUUCCCUUCCGGCAGCCUCUUGGCCUCUAAUUUGUUUAUCUUUUGUGUAUAAAUCCCAAAAUAUUGAAUUUUGGAAUAUUUCCACCAUUAUAUAUUUUGGUAGGUAAUUUAUUUGGAGUGAGUUUCUGCACCAUGCCCGAAUUUUUUAUUUUAUUUUCCUUAUUAUUUGGUGUUAAACAGGUUUAAUGACGGUCAUGGCAACUUUUUGGCACAAUGAAAAAUAUCGCCCAUGAUCAACGUGUUCUGUUCUGGGGAA